rnacentral:tRNA from 1 species
UCCCUGGUGGUCCAGUGGCUAAGACUCUGCAAUCCCAGUGCAGGGACCCAGGUUCGAUCCCUGGUCAAGGAU